UUAUUAUUAUUCCACAAGUCGUGAGCGAUAAAAUACACUUUUGCUUGUUUCAACUCGAGCGAAUAUUAGCUGGAUAGUUCCAAGCAGGGUGGAAACAAAAUGGGAAUUCAAUCUUGCUCUCUACUUUUAUCUGGUGCGCAUUCAAAUUUUAUUUUCCUUGUAAUUGCCAAAUCUUUGAUACUCUAUAUUGAUGUAUUUACGAUAGAAAUACUCAUUUAACGCUUGUUUGACCACUUAGAACUUUUGUUUGUAAAAGGAACCCAAAAAAAGAAAAAAAUACGAAAACGUAUAUUUGAUACUCUUUUUGAUAAUGAAUCUUCAAAAAGUCAUAAUGGCAUAUAGAAAAUCCGAGGUGAAAACGAGGUUGCCAAGCUGACAAGAUGGACGCAAGGCAAUCUGAAAUUGCGAAUAGAGGCCGCAUCAUUGGGUAAGUAAUUUCUCUCACAGUGAAAUAACCAGAGCCGGAUAUCUCCCGUUCGACGGUAAACCGAUGAUUAAGGUGGGAGUGGGGCACCCCAAGCUCGCUCCGGAUGCCCCCUUCACCAAUGCAACCUAGAGCUCCCGCUAACAAGCUGCACGGUGAAGGAAACGACUACGCACCGAUGGGAUUCAAAAGUUAUCAGAGGUUGAAAACACGACAUUGUCAACAUCACCUCCAGAUCACACAGAGCGCACGGAAAGUUCCAUUGUUGGAUGAGAGAUGUAAAGAUGUGACAUACGAAAUAUCUAUGAAACGGCGGGGUGGCCAUGUGAUCUGUAAAAUGUGGGGGUGGAUUUUUAUGCAUGAUGUUGGUGAACUCGCCGGAGAUAAAUAUAUUGAAUUGUUAGAAGAAAGAUUCCUCCAAUCAGCACGCUGCUAUGCCUUGGCCCUUUCCAGAAACCAUUAUUUUCGUGAAGGAUAACUGCCCAAUACGCACGUCAAGGACAGAUACGAAGUGGUUUGGUGACCAAAACCACAAGGAAGUCCUUCCGCGACCAAAACCACAAGGAAGUCCUUCCGCGACCAAAAUCACAAGGAAGUCCUUCCGCGACCAAAACCACAAGGAAGUCCUUCCGCGACCAAAACCACAAGGAAGUCCUUCCGCGACCAAAACCACAAGGAAGUCCUUCCGCGACCAAAAUCACAAGGAAGUCCUUCCGCGACCAAAACCACAAGGAAGUCCUUCCGCGACCAAAAUCACAAGGAAGUCCUUCCGCGACUAAAACCACAAGGAAGUCCUUCCGCGACCAAAACCACAAGGAAGUCCUUCCGCGACCAAAACCACAAGGAAGUCCUUCCGCGAACAAAACCACAAGGAAGUCCUUCCGCGACCAAAACCACAAGGAAGUCCUUCCGCGGCCGAGCAAACCCGAUGAAAAAUGUUGAGGCGAAUAUUGUCAUUGUUUGGGAAACGGCUUAUGAAAGAACCUCGCAAUAGCUAAUAGAUCAUGCUAAAGGGGAAAGGAAAGUAUUAUGGAGGAAACCGGAACAUCACAUUAGCACGUCACAAGGUUUUGCAUAACCAUAGAUUGUUCUUAUUAUACGUAUGGCUGCUCCCAGUAUUAGUCUUUCUUUUCUACAUUGUUACCGUUUUUCUUUUUACAAAUAAACCGAUAGUAAAAAUA